rnacentral:rRNA from 1 species
UGGAGCAUGUGGGCUAAUUUGACUCAACGCGGGGAAUCUUACUAGGUCCGGACCGAUUCUAUGAUCGUCGUACUGUGGGGUGCUACGUGAUUACUGGAUGAGUGGUGCAUGGCCGUUCUUAGUUCGUGGUGUCAGUUGUCUACUUAAUUGUCAUUGGUUCUCGUAUCUUACGGUACAGAACUGAUAACGAACGAGAUCGAGGCCCGUGGUUGUGUCGUUGGUUAUUAUUGUGUGCGGCGUUAACAACGGGGAUCGCGUAAUACUCCACGGUACGAUCGAAAGACUCGGCAAUAACAGGUCUGUGAUGCCCUCAGAUGUUCUAGGCUGCACACGUGCUACAUUGUGGUUUCGCGUAGUGKGUGUGUGCAUAGAAAUGAUAAGAUCCCCCGCACCGAGUCUCAANUUAAUCACUUGGUUGGACUCACCGUUUGUAAUUAUUCGGUAUACUA